rnacentral:rRNA from 1 species
GAUAGGUUGGGUGUGUAAGCGCUGUGAGGCGUUGAGCUAACCAAUACUAAUUGCCCGUGAGGCUUGACCAUAUAACACCCAAGCAAUU